GACGAACGCUGGCGGCGUGCUUAACACAUGCAAGUCGAACGGAAAGGCCCUGCUUUUGUGGGGUGCUCGAGUGGCGAACGGGCGAGUAACACGUGAGUAACCUGCCCUUGACUUUGGGAUAACUUCAGGAAACUGGGGCUAAUACCGGAUAGGAGCUCCUGCUGCAUGGUGGGGGUUGGAAAGUUUCGGCGGUUGGGGAUGGACUCGCGGCUUAUCAGCUUGUUGGUGGGGUAGUGGCUUACCAAGGCUUUGACGGGUAGCCGGCCUGAGAGGGUGACCGGCCACAUUGGGACUGAGAGACGGCCCAGACUCCUACGGGAGGCAGCAGUGGGGAAUAUUGCACAAUGGGCGGAAGCCUGAUGCAGCAACGCCGCGUGCGGGAUGACGGCCUUCGGGUUGUAAACCGCUUUCGCCUGUGACGAAGCGUGAGUGACGGUAAUGGGUAAAGAAGCACCGGCUAACUACGUG
rnacentral:rRNA from 1 species